CAAAAUAUCAAAACUGUGGACGGUUCUUGAAUCUCAGUCAUUUCAUCUACGAAAUCCAGCGCUGUUUCUUUCAAUUCUUUCAGACAUUGAUGCAGGAAAUAAUAAGUGGAGGAGAACGAAAUGCCUCCAGUAAUAGCGAGGCCGACGAACGGAAUAAAACGAGCAAAUUCUUCAACUGCCGACCCAGCAGUGUAUACGUUGCAAGAAACGACAGCGAACUUUCUCCUGCUUUUCAGGCAUUAUUUUUUUGAAUUUGUACGAGUUUUCAUCAGGAAGGCCAAGUUGGGAUUAAUAGAAGAAACUCACUUCGUUUGUCAGAAGAACGAGAUCAACGGCAACAUUCAACCCAGGCAUGCAGAGGAAAUGCCGCAGCGGCAGUUAAAAUGCUAUUCCGUCAAAUAUUUUUUAACAAUACGAUUUCCAAGUAUAAGUCAUUUUCCAAGUAAAUCAUUUACCCAGAAUAAGGCCAGCGUCAGCUCGUUUCACAAUCUGACAAUCACAUGAUGUUUCAUAAAAUAUUAAAACUCGCAAUAAAUUAAAUAUGAAACGGUCACAAAC